rnacentral:rRNA from 1 species
UCCGGAGGGUGCAAGCGUUAUCCGGAUUCACUGGGUUUAAAGGGUGCGUAGGUGGGUUGGUAAGUCAGUGGUGAAAUCUCCGAGCUUAACUUGGAAACUGCCAUUGAUACUAUCAGUCUUGAAUAUUGUGGAGGUCAGCGGAAUAUGUCAUGUAGCGGUGAAAUGCUUAGAUAUGACAUAGAACACCAAUUGCGAAGGCAGCUGGCUACACAUAUAUUGACACUGAGGCACGAAAGCGUGGGGAUCAAACAGG